AUCCACUUUGCAUUAUCAGCUCAUGCUUCAGCGCUCUGCGAGUGUUUAUAGUCCUGUGACUUUAACACUUCAUGACUGAGAGCUGCUGCUCAGCGACUUCACCCACAGCAACCAUGAGUUUGAUCAGCGUCUUCAUCUGCACACUGGCCCUCUGCGCUCGAGGAUCCAGAGGUCAGGUGACUGUGACUCAGAGUCCUGCAGUGAAAUCUGUUUCUCCAGGAGACACACUCACCAUCAGCUGUAAAACCAGUCCUGCUGUUUACAAUGAUGGUGCUUAUUAUUAUUUGUCCUGGUAUCAGCAGAAAGCUGGAGAAGCUCCUAAACUCCUGAUCUAUGCUGCUGAUGAAAGAGAAUCAGGUAUUCCAGCUCGUUUCAGUGGCAGUGGAUCUGGAUCUGAUUUCACUCUGACCAUCAGUGGAGUCCAGACUGAAGAUGCUGGAGAUUAUUACUGUCAGAGUUACCAUGAGAUCAGUAGUAGCGCGGUGUUCACACAGUGUUAGAGCGUCGUACAAAAACCUGUGUGUGUGUGAGUGCUGCAGCUGGGACCUACUGCAGGUGCUGAGGGGGACGAUGUGAUCCAGCACACACACACACACACACACACAGUGUAGCAGUGGAAGCUAACAGCAUGUUCAUGAAUCAUUUUCCCCAGUGGUCACAUGUACAGGGAAGAAAGCAGUGUGUGUAGAACAGAGCUGUCUCAGUCCUGUGAUGAGGCCGAAAUACUGACUGAGACAUUUAAUCACGGGCGAUUGCUCUAAGACAACGAGGGAGUCUCAGCCUCCUCUAAAAAUGAUGAACAUCGUGUAGGAUGAAUUGCUCUAGGCUUAUGUUAUGGCCGACCUUAUAACAUUGCUAUUUCAGAUCCAGAAUCAUAGAAAUAUAUGUGCUCAACCCAACUACAGUGCGAAAUCAUUCCGUUAUAACUUUCCCCAGUUCGCCUAAUGUGUGCGUGAGUUUUUCCCCCUUGACAGCACGAUGCAGCCCAGCCUCAGUGCACUUCAAUGGCAUUUGGGAGCUAUGCGCUUUUCAAUCUCAAAAUGCAAUAUGGUUAUUGGACAAAUACUGUGAAAAUGCCCGCCCAUGGACUCCCAGCCUCACAGUGGGAGGGACAUGGCAGUUUCCGCGAGGAGACUGGUGAUUGGUGAAAGCGGCCAGAUAUUUUCUUUGAUUGACAGCUCGUUUCUAAUAGAGACAGGCAGCGGUGAAUCUCAGUUCAGUCCCAUGCAGAUUCGC